GCCUGGUUGGCUCAGUUGGUAGUGUGUGUGACUGUUGAUUUCAGGAUUGUGAGUUUAAACCCCACAUUGGGUA
rnacentral:tRNA from 1 species